rnacentral:rRNA from 2 species
UCGAGCGAACUGAUUAGAAGCUUGCUUCUAUGACGUUAGCGGCGGACGGGUGAGUAACACGUGGGCAACCUGCCUGUAAGACUGGGAUAACUUCGGGAAACCGAAGCUAAUACCGGAUAGGAUCUUCUCCUUCAUGGGAGAUGAUUGAAAGAUGGUUUCGGCUAUCACUUACAGAUGGGCCCGCGGUGCAUUAGCUAGUUGGUGAGGUAACGGCUCACCAAGGCAACGAUGCAUAGCCGACCUGAGAGGGUGAUCGGCCACACUGGGACUGAGACACGGCCCAGACUCCUACGGGAGGCAGCAGUAGGGAAUCUUCCGCAAUGGACGAAAGUCUGACGGAGCAACGCCGCGUGAGUGAUGAAGGCUUUCGGGUCGUAAAACUCUGUUGUUAGGGAAGAACAAGUACGAGAGUAACUGCUCGUACCUUGACGGUACCUAACCAGAAAGCCACGGCUAACUACGUGCCAGCAGCCGCGGUAAUACGUAGGUGGCAAGCGUUAUCCGGAAUUAUUGGGCGUAAAGCGCGCGCAGGCGGUUUCUUAAGUCUGAUGUGAAAGCCCACGGCUCAACCGUGGAGGGUCAUUGGAAACUGGGGAACUUGAGUGCAGAAGAGAAAAGCGGAAUUCCACGUGUAGCGGUGAAAUGCGGUAAAGAUGUGGAGGAACACCAGUGGCGAAGGCGGCUUUUUGGUCCUGCAACGGACGCUGAGG